CUGAUCUCUACUGUAGUAGGGUUGGAAGGUUAGACAGGUUAGACAGGUGGUAUGUAUCUGAUCUCUACUGUAGUAGGGUUGGAAGGUUAGACAGGUGGUAUGUAUCUGAUCUCUACUGUAGUAGGGUUGGAAGGUUAGACAGGUGGUAUGUAUCUGAUCACUACUGUAGUAGGGUUGGAAGGUUAGACAGGUGGUAUGUAUCUGAUCUCUACUGUAGUAGGGUUGGAAGGUUAGACAGGUGGUAUGUAUCUGAUCUCUACUGUAGUAGGGUUGGAAGGUUAGACAGGUGGUAUGUAUCUGAUCACUACUGUAGUAGGGUUGGAAGGUUAGACAGGUGGUAUGUAUCUGAUCUCUACUGUAGUAGGGUUGGAAGGUUAGACAGGUUGUAUAUAUCUGAUCACUACUGUAGUAGGGCUUCAGUGGGGCAGAGAUGGGAUGAAGACUUUGGUGGUUUUUCUAGGCUCCGAUAUCUUUCGGAAAAAUAACUGGGAGGGUGUAUUGGAGAAAGUGUGUGCCAGACUGUCAAGAUGGAAAUGGGUGCUGCCCCAGCUGUCUUAUAGGGGAAGGGUGCUGGUAGCUAAUAAUCUUGCUUCCUCUACCCUGUGGCACAGACUAAUGAUUUUACAGCCACCAAAGGGUCUAAUACAGGAGCUUCAGAGGACUCUUGUCAAUUUCUUCUGGUCUGGACAACACUGGAUUAAAGCUGCAGCCCUGUACCUGCCACUGCACGGGGGUGGUCAAGGCUUGGUGGACAUUUCCUCUAGGAUCAUGGCUUUCCAGCUUCAAGCAGCCCAGAGAUUGUUGUAUAGAGACGGUUCUAGCUGGGUCGACACAGCCUACAUAUUGAUGAGGAGAGCGGGCUGUUUGGGCUUAGACAAGCACCUUUUCCUCUUAAAGCUGGAAGGGGGUGAUUUGCCUGGCCUGACUCCAUUUUAUGAGUCUGUUAUGCAGGCUUGGAGAGUCUUUGUCAAGUCCCGUAAGGCCGGCACGCCACCAGGAAUGUGGCUUUUUGAAGAGCCUCUUUUUCAUAACACUGCCAUCCAGUCCCGUAUUCUGGGUUCAGCUAGCCUACGUUCAUGCCUGUUAAGCGUGGGUGUACCAAGCUGGGUCAUCUGAUGCGGAGCAGGAGCAGGUCGUUGGAGGAGCUGGGAGAAAGAGCGGGGAUCCGAUCAUCUCCCCGACUGAGGAAGUUCGUCGCUGAGGUCUGUGACUCCUUGCCAGUACUUCAUCUGUAGUAUGUGACUGACACUUCCAAUUCUGAUCGGUGGAAGGAGGGUCUGGAUUAUGUGUUCCCUGCACUGAUUGUUAGUGCUGCGAUGGGGGCAUUUGAAGAGGACGUGGGGACGCUGCUUUCCUUCGAUACCCCGGAGCUGGGGGAGUUCAAGGAGGUGG